GGCCAGGAGCCAUGCGGGCGGACACUGCCUAACCCUGCCAGGUCCGGAAGGAAGCAACAGUAAGCGGAUGUCUGCGGCGCCGUGGUCCCCCUGGCCUGG
rnacentral:SRP_RNA from 1 species